GACGAACGCUGGCGGCGUGCUUAACACAUGCAAGUCGAACGGAAAGGCCCUGCUUUUGUGGGGUGCUCGAGUGGCGAACGGGUGAGUAACACGUGAGUAACCUGCCCUUGACUUUGGGAUAACUUCAGGAAACUGGGGCUAAUACCGGAUAGGAGCUCCUGCUGCAUGGUGGGGGUUGGAAAGUUUCGGCGGUUGGGGAUGGACUCGCGACUUAUCAGCUUGUUGGUGGGGUAGUGGCUUACCAAGGCUUUGACGGGUAGCCGGCCUGAGAGGGUGACCGGCCACAUUGGGACUGAGAUACGGCCCAGACUCCUACGGGAGGCAGAAGUGGGGAAUAUUGCACAAUGGGCGGAAGCCUGAUGCAGCAACGCCGCGUGCGGGAUGACGGCCUUCGGGUUGUAAACCGCUUUCGCCUGUGACGAAGCGUGAGUGACGGUAAUGGGUAAAGAAGCACCGGCUAACUACGUG
rnacentral:rRNA from 1 species